GUCUGCUUGCUUGGCCAAGCGAAUUUUCUUCAGCACAUACCUACCAGUAAGAUGAAAUUUUCAUCAUCAAGAGGAAUAAAGAACUGAAGAUGGAAAGCAAAACUGGGCUUCAAUUUCCACAUUUGACAACCAAAACCUCAAAAAGAUUGAAAAUUUCUUCGUGGGGUUGUCCAAUUUUGACCAAAGAUCUUGAAGAGUUCAUGUUGGUUCCAGCAAUUACAUUUACACAGAACACACACACAUAAGGAAACAGUGGCAUACCUCUUAUUCUCAAUCUUGUGUAGAACAAGAAAAGUUGCACCAAGUGCUCCUCUUCCAAUUUGCUGGAUCACUUCAUAGUCUUCCAUCUUGCCACUACUCUCCAUAGAAACCUCCAGAAGAAGCUACAAGACAAACAGUGAAGCCCUGAAGCAGCAGAUCCUGAUUUGCAGAGAAUCCAAUUCACGAAACGCUUGAUUCUUUAUUUUAAGGCAAAGUCUUGCUGCUGUGAGUGUGAAUUUCAGCUACCAACCCUUUUGCUUCCUCCAAAUGCUGUAAAUGAACACAAACCUAUAGCUUCAAUAGCAUUAAUUAUUAUUAGACUCACUUAGGUGAUUAUUGAAUGAACUUCAGCAACCAUGAAGGGGUUUCAACUUUCAACUUUCCACAACUAUAUGGCACUAAACUUAGCUUCUCAGGAGAUUGAAGAGAAAGAGAGAGUGGAAUAUACCAAAAAAAUUGAGAGUUUGAUGACUUACGGAAAGAAAGUUGAGAGAGAGAAGAGAGAGAUGGAAGGACAACAAAGUCAAGUAAAGAAAUGCAGAACAGGCAUGUUGCACUUUAAUAUUACUUUAAUAUUGAUAAGCGUGUAAUAGUGACUUAAUUUAGUAUAAGUUGUGGCUACCAUAAUUUAUGGCCUGAAUAAGGGAUACUAUUUUUUGCUAACUAGAGUUUUGCCCGUGAGAAAGUUCGGGCUGAUAUUCUUAUUUGAAUAUGAUUAAUAUGUGUUCAUUCUUAUAUUUGAGGUU